AACAACAACAAAAAGACAAACAGUGAAAUAGUUCAAAGGAAGGAGGCAACGAAUCGUCUCUCGUGCUAAAAUGGUCAAUGGUUCAUGGAUCUAGAACCCAUCCCAGGCACUGGGUCCAAGGUGGGGACAUACCUUACUGUGGUCCUUGGCUUCUGGGGGCCCAAAGCAGUUGCCUGCCUUUGCCUAGUGCUGCCUAACUGUGCCCCUGCUUGCACAUAUGCACAAUCAUUUAGGGGCAAUUUAGCAUAACCAAUCCGAUGAAACCAGAGAACCUUGGGAAAACCCACAUGGACACGGAGAGAACAUUCACAGAAACCCCACACAGACAAAAAGCACGGCUAAGGAUCGAACUAAGGACAUUGGAGCUGUGCUACCAUGUCACCUUGAAUGAACUCAAAUAGCACACUUAUCUAUAUAUUUCAAACAAUAAUUUUGCCACUUAUAAUACUGAGGAAUGAAGCAGUAUCAUUGUAGUAUAACCUAUAAUAAUACAGAGUCAUACAAAAGCAUACAAAAGCCAACACUGUACACUGUGUGUGCAUGAGAGCUAUUUACUUAUUGUUAUAUGCCCAUUCAAUUUGUCAAUGGCAUCACCACAAAAAGAUAAAAUCCUAAUAGGAAUAUAUUUUGCUGAAACAGUGUUAGUUUGUCCAUAACUGGUUAAAUUAAUAUAUGGUCAAGGAUCUUUGAAAUGUAAUGUUGAAAUGUGGUUUCAACAUUCUGAUUUGUUUUCCUUCUGGUGUCGUGCACCAACUGUAAACUUCAGCUUUAGCUACGUGUUGGCUUGUGUUAAGUUCAAUAACAGUUGACUCACAGCUCAUAUUCAGAGUCUUCUUGGAAUGUCAGGGGGCCCAUACAGACAGCACAGAUGUUCCCCAUUACCCUGAAGCACUGCAUGCAGAAACACCCUGAAAACAAAAGAGUAUAUUCAAACACAGAGUUUUGAGAGCUAUACUUCAUACUGUAUACUCAAGCUGAUGGUAUCUAUCUACUAUCUCCUGUUCUUUAUUUCCAAGCAUAAAUUAAAACAUCAAGCUAAUCAA